UGAAGAGGCCAGGUGUCUGGUCUCAGACCAUCCCACAGGUGAAGAGGCCAGGUGUCUGGUCUCAGACCAUCCCACAGGUGAAGAGGCUGGGUGUCUGAUCUCAGACCAUCCCACAGGUGCAGAGGCCAGGUGUCUGGUCUCAGACCAUCCCACAGGUGAAGAGGCUGGGUGUCUGGUCUCAGACCAUCCCACAGGUGAAGAGGCUGGGUGUCUGGUCUCAGACCAUCCCACAGGUGCAGAG